AUCCAGCUGACGAGUCCCAAAUCGGACGAAACGUGCAUCCUGGAU
rnacentral:hammerhead_ribozyme from 1 species